rnacentral:lncRNA from 1 species
UGAAAUGAUUGAAUUUGUUUUAUGGAUUCAUAAAUAUAUAUAUUAGAAGCAAAUAAAAUUAACGACGGUACAAGGGGUACUCCAAACCCAUUCCAAAAUAGAAGUGUUAAUGAUUUUAAAGAUACCCCUAAAGAUUAUAUCACCAAAGCUCAAAGUAAGAAGAAGAACUGCCUCUAAGUCUAGCCAUAAAUCACCACCAAGAGAUAGUUUUAACGUUAUCUAACAAAAGAGCCAAAUCCUCCAUCGCCUCCAUUAAACCAAAUAUUUCCAUCUGCCACGAGCUUUCCCUGCUAACGUCAGUCUGCCCGCCUCAAAAUGAUCAACCCGUACAAGAUCCUGCACAUCUCCAAUUCCUAGCCAAAUAAAGACUUUCUCCCACACAAGCUCGAUGAAAGGACGCAAAAAGAAUAAAGGGUCAAUAGUCUCGGCCAAAUGAAAACAAUACACUCAAUAAGUGUUAGAUAAUAUUUACUUGUAUGGUUAGGUUUGGAAAGACACGAGUCUCAGGUACAAAU